rnacentral:rRNA from 1 species
UACAGAGGGGGCGAGCGUUGUUCGGAAUUACUGGGCGUAAAGGGCGCGUAGGCGGCCCGCUAAGUCGAACGUGAAAUCCCCAGGCUCAACCUGGGAACUGCGUCCGAUACUGGCAGGCUUGAAUCCGGGAGAGGGAUGUGGAAUUCCAGGUGUAGCGGUGAAAUGCGUAGAUAUCUGGAGGAACACCGGUGGCGAAGGCGGCAUCCUGGACCGGUAUUGACGCUGAGGCGCGAAGGCUAGGGGAGCAAACGGG